rnacentral:rRNA from 1 species
GAUGAACGCUAGCGGGAGGCUUAACACAUGCAAGUCGAGGGGCAGCACGAGGUAGCAAUACUUUGGUGGCGACCGGCGCACGGGUGAGUAACGCGUAUGCAACCUACCCUGUACAGGGGGAUAACCCGGAGAAAUUCGGACUAAUACCCCAUAAAGAUAUUUAGAGGCAUCUUUGAAUAUUUAAAGUUCCGGCGGUACGGGAUGGGCAUGAGUAACAUUAGCUAGUUGGUAAGGUAACGGCUUACCAAGGAAACGAUGUUUAGGGGUCCUGAGAGGGUGACCCCCCACACUGGUACCGAGACACGGACCAGACUCCUACGGGAGGCAGCAGUGAGGAAUAUUGGUCAAUGGGCGCAAGCCUGAACCAGCCAUCCCGCGUGAAGGAAGAAUGCGCUAUGCGUUGUAAACUUCUUUUCCAGGGGAAUAAAAUUUUGUACGUGUACGGAAUUGAAGGUACCCUGGGAAUAAGCAUCGGCUAACUCCGUGCCAGCCGCCGCGGUAAUAC